rnacentral:rRNA from 1 species
UACGUAGGGUGCGAGCGUUGUCCGGAAUUAUUGGGCGUAAAGAGCUUGUAGGUGGUUUGUCGCGUCUGCUGUGAAAAUCCGAGGCUCAACCUCGGACUUGCAGUGGGUACGGGCAGACUAGAGUGUGGUAGGGGAGACUGGAAUUCCGGGUGGAGCGGUGAAAUGCGUAGAGAUCCGGAAGAACACCGACGGCGAAGGCAGCGUCCUGGCCGAGCACUGACGCUCAGGCACGAAAGCGCGGGGAGCGAACAGG